AGGGCCUGGGGCAGGUGGGUGCUUUGUCAGGGAGAAGAGAGGGCUCUCUUGGCUGGAAGUCAGGAUGGGGACACUGGAGUGCUGCCUUGCUUAUAUUAUUCAUAAAGCUGCUUAAGGACUUAAAUGGCACAAAGAAAGUACAUCUAGAAACUGCCAUGGGCUUAGUUCUGUCUGCUUUCACCUUUUCUGCCCCCUCUCCACAUGAGAGGUUUGGCACUGAAGGCACGGUUGGGGCAUUUGGCCUCCUGUGAAGUUUCUCCCCAGCUAUGUGGUCUCAGGCCCUAUCCCAUGUGGGAUCUUUCAUUUACAUCCAGAUACUUACUGGAAUCCAAGCAAAAGACCUUCUUCAAACCCAUCUUCUGCAGGAGCGUCUCCCUGGAAGAACAGUGUCCUGAUCCUGGCUGUGAUUAUUUCAGCAUCCUCAGCAGUGGACAUUUCUAUUGGCUUGCGAUGUUAAGUGCACGAGUUUGUGGGACAGCACAGCGCAGCACCAUGGACAGCUCUGCGAUCGGACCCAGAAAGCUCUCCUGUCUGCCCCGAGGCCUCUUGGGUUACGUACCUGCAGAAGACUCCUUCACCCUUGAAACCCUCUGAAGAGCUUCAGGCCAACACGGCUACAACCUAUACCCAUGAUGACAGAGGCAGCCGUCCUACAGAACUGUGCCGACUAGUUUGGACUUCUGCUCCCAGAAACCCCAAGGGAAUUGGGAACAAAGGAAGAGGAAGUGACAAAGCAGACAAGGGAGCAACUGGGGAUCAGAGCAGGCCUCAUGGCAGCUCUGCCACUCGGCUGGUGGCAGUCCUACAUUAGUUAAAUUUGCAGUUAAGCUGCAUUAUAAUAGUAUCCUGACAUUAAUAAUUGUCUUUCCCUUUCCCCGCACCUGUUAUUUCAUACAAUCCUGAGAAUUUAAAUUAAUCAAAUUGAAAGAAAUGCUUAAAAAUAAACAUCAAUAUUAUCCAUCAAAAUUUACUAAAAAAAAAAUCAAAUUCUGCCAAGCCUAUGUAUAUUGUGUGCAAUUUUCACAGCACUUAGCAAAUAAGACCUCAAACUCUGUUUUUAGUCUAUACAAGCAUCCGAAAUGCAAUUAUUCUGCCCAAUAUAUACAUUUCUUUCCCAUUUCAUGCAUCUAUUAACACUUUGUAAAUCUCUUCUCUAUGUUUCAUCUCUCUCUCUCUUCCUCGGGGACAAUAUAUAUCAUUCGCCACACACGCACAAUGCCCAUUUAGCAUAUUCUUCCUAUCAUUUUAAAAGAGACCUCUUUUCUAAUUUUCAAAUAUCUCCUAGCACUGCUAUGAUGGCACUUUAAAGUAAUUUAAAUAUAGCCUGGAAAUAAUUUUAAUCCCCUGACUCUUUCCUUCCCUCCCCUCUGUAUUCUACCCCAUAAAUGUAUUGCUUUUAAUGGUGUUGCCAUGUGACACUAAUGGUAAAAAACAGGCCAGAAUCCACAGAGAAUAUGAAAUGUAAUUGCACUGUUUCUAGGAAUAACUCAUAAGAAUUGGCGGUUGAUGUACUAAUUUUUUCAGCAACCUCUUGGAGUGCAAUGUUGUUUAUCCCCUGAAAUGGGGAAACAAUGCUACCUUAUUCAAGUUGCCUUGCAAAGACUCAUUGUAGCAUGGACGGGAAAUAUCAGCUAGACAAGCAUAUCAAUCCUGAAUUUUGUUUUCAAUGACAUGUUCAGUGUUACUUUUAAAAUGAAUUGCCAGAGUGUUAAUAUGGAUUUCUCUCUGGCUGUGGUUUGGAUUCACUUCAUCAAUGGGCAAGACUGAAUCAACUUCUCCUUUUCAAAUGGGAGUAGGGGACCAUUUAGUUCUUACGUUUCAGGCGGACUGGGUAAUGUGUAAUUUAUUCCCUUCACUAUUAUUCUUCACUGCUUUUUCUGCAGUGCUGUAUGAAUACUGUAUGUUUGGGGUACCUUUGGAUUUUGCACUUAGUCAUCCAUCUCUGCACCUACUUUACUUUCAGAUCCCAUCUGAACACUUGAGAUGUGUAGAUAGAUAGCUUUAGGGGCAUUUAAAGAUGCUUAACAGACCUUCCUAAAAUUCACUAGUUAACCAGUCAUCUUCAUCCCUCUGCCUAAAGUAGGGCAGUGCUGUUAGCACCAUUUUAAAGAUGGGGAAAACUGAGGUACAGAGACUGAGGGCAGCCUAAAGUCCUGGCAUCAAAGUCUGCUCCUAUUCCAUCUUGUUCAAAUGCCUAAAAAGGCAUUCACUUUUUACCUUGUUUUGGAGACCCAAGCAGGGUGGGAUAGUACCACCUACACGUUUCACAGGUGGGACAGGAUCUGGUCCCGAAUGACUUGGCCCUAAUCGCACAAAGGUCUGUAGCAGAGUAGGGAACACAGCCUGUCUGUCCUUAGUCCCAGGUUUCCACUUGAACCGCUCAUCCUCAAUAAAGUUUGCGUUUUGAUCACGGUGCACGGAGUAACUUCACAUACAAACCCGAACCCCUCACCUCGGCAACUUUCUGCAAGGAUUAUUGAGUAUGUAGCUUGCCUUUAG